rnacentral:misc_RNA from 1 species
GGAGGAGUUUUGGGUUGUGAAACUGUUCCCCUGUGACAGUUGGUAUCAAAGCGUUGGAGUGAGUCUCGGCAAGAUGGCUGAUUUGGGUGACCAAACGCAUGAAGGUGGUACCUCGUUGGUGGAAAGACAAAUGGCUAGUGCAAGGAGGAAGGGGCGGGCCAAAUCAAGGGACCCUUCUCAGGCGAGAGAUGAGAUGGGGGACAUUGAGAUUAGAUUGGCCAGAGUUGAGUGACACUUGGUCAAUGAGGAUGAUAGAUUUAAGGAGUUGGAGAGCCGACUGUUGAAGCUUGUAGAAGAGAUGGAGGAGAGCCGUGAAAAACUACAAGUUGCACUCAAUGAAGCCCUUGACAAGG